GAGGGUGCAAGCGUUAAUCGGAAUAACUGGGCGUAAAGCGCACGCAGGCGGUUGGAUAAGCGAGAUGUGAAAGCCCCGGGCUCAACCUGGGAACUGCAUUUCGAACUGUCCGACUAGAGUCUUGUAGAGGGGGGUAGAAUUCCAGGUGUAGCGGUGAAAUGCGUAGAGAUCUGGAGGAAUACCGGUGGCGAAGGCGGCCCCCUGGACAAAGACUGACGCUCAGGUGCGAAAGCGUGGGGAGCAAACAGGA
rnacentral:rRNA from 1 species